UUCAGUGCCCUGCGUGCACACCCUCCAUGUUGGCUUUUGCAGUGGAUGGGAUCCGUAAACUAUACGGCUUUAGGUCCAGUAAUGGGUGUCAGAUGUUCAGCAGUGGAUGACAGGACCAACCAAUCAAAAUGACUUGCAGGACGCCAUUGAUGGACUCUUUUUGAGCAUUAAGCAGCAAACCCUUCAGCUGUAUCGUCAGACUGGCAGUGCUGAGGCAUUUACGGAGACGGGAAGUGAGGGUCUUCCCUGCGUGCUCAAGAGAAGAUUGCACAAAGUUCAAGCUUAGCAGGCUGCAGCUGGUCUGACAUAUUCUGGAACGGCAACAAUGUCUUUGGAUGACUCCUCCUCUGAAGAGGAAAACAUCAAUCAAUCAAUCAUUGUUUAUUGUCAUUACCAGAGUACAGGUACAAGGCAACGAAAUGGAAAGAACAGUUUGGUUUCAAAGAUUACAGCAUAACAUGAGGGGAGGGAG